CUGGGAUGCUCAUAUCAUACUCUAAAUACUCCCUCAAAACCCAUAUGUUUAGAAACUCAAAAUUCAGCCCCAAGAUGUAAUCAUCUAAAUUCUCAGCAAUCCUCCCCUUCUUUGCUAAAUUUGCAUUUCCUUUUUUCCAAGUUUGAUUUGCAUUUCCUUUCUUGGAUUUACCCUUUUUCCCUUUACUCAAAGAACUGACCUUUUCUCUUCUUCUGUAAACAUACUCUCUUAGAAUUGAGAAAUGGACUUCAUGUGCAGCCAAUGCAAGCAUGAUCAGAUCAGCAUCCAUUCCAUACAAGCAAUGCCGUGUAUUUGGAUUGUAUCCAGGCAAAUCUCUUUGCAAUCGGAUGUAAGACAAUACCUUGUGCUCCCCUUCACCAGGUACAUUGGCAUCAGAGAGAAUGACCUUUAUUCCCCGCCAGGCUGAAUCCCCAUUCAUCCUCAACCGUAUGUAAUACCUAAGUGCCGAUGACAAUAAAGCCAUGAACUCAGUUCCAGGUGUGAUUACAUUUGAGUCCAUCUUUUUUAGUUGCUCUGAAAGGGCAGGUUUUUCUUCAGAUUUUUCCAUUUUCAAGGCUUUCUCAGCUGCUUCUUUAGCAGCCAUGAAACGCCUUGAUCGUUGUUGAUUCAUCUUAGCUCGCGGAGCAACACCAUCGAUUGCCAAGUAUAAAAGCUUGCGAGGCCUAACUAUGGAGAAGAUCCUAUCAAUGUACUUGAAAAUGU
rnacentral:misc_RNA from 1 species